rnacentral:rRNA from 1 species
UGGGGAAUAUUGCGCAAUGGGCGAAAGCCUGACGCAGCGACGCCGCGUGCGGGAAGACGGCCUUCGGGUUGUAAACCGCUGUCGGGGGGGACGAAGAUCUGACGGUACCCCCAAAGGAAGCACCGGCUAACUCUGUGCCAGCAGCCGCGGUAAUACAGAGGGUGCGAGCGUUGUCCGGAAUUACUGGGCGUAAAGGGCGCGUAGGCGGUUUGGUAAGUAGGGGGUGAAAUACCACGGCUCAACCGUGGGACUGCCUUCUAAACUGCCAAGCUGGAGCAUGGUAGAGGCAGAUGGAAUUCCCGGUGUAACGGUGGAAUGCGUAGAGAUCGGGAAGAACACCAGUGGCGAAGGCGGUCUGCUGGGCCAUAGCUGACGCUGAGGCGCGAUAGCGUGGGGAGCAAACAGGAUUAGAUACCCUGGUAGUCCACGCCGUAAACGAUGGGUACUAGGCGUCGGGGGGAGCGACCCUCUCGGUGCCGUCGCUAACGCUGUAAGUACCCCGCCUGGGGAGUACGGCCGCAAGGCUG